AAAAAGAUAAAUCAUGUGUUUCCGCAUCCAACGUUUGACUGUCCGUCUUAUAUGAAAUUUUUUUAUAAUUAGUAUUUUCAUUGUUGUUAGAUGAUAAAACAUGAUUAAUACUUUAUGUGUGACUUGUCUUUUUAAUUUUUUUUUUUAAAUAAGACGGACGGUUAAAUGUUGGACACGUAAACCUAGUAUUUAUU
rfam:Oryza barthii chromosome 7, whole genome shotgun sequence.